rnacentral:lncRNA from 1 species
GGUUGAUGGCACCACCAGAUGUAGAGAGACUGUCCUAUGGGUAAGAGGCAGGGGAUGACCACAUUAAUGGGUUCCUCCCAGAACACUAUCACAGAUGGAAGGAGUCAAAAGUUGGGAAAACUAUGGCCACAGGGAGAAUGGAGCAAUCCUACUAGGAAAGAGAAUAGGCUAUUAUCACUAACUGUGUGCAGACGAUGGGGUUUUUAAAGGUAGAGAGAGAUUCACACAAGACAUCAGAGAAAGGAAGGACUUUGGGGAGAAAAAUGCAAAUUUGAAGGCAAAAGAAGCAAAUUAGGAGCAGUGGGGAAAUCCAAAGAGUAUCACCAUGUGAAUAUCUUAAGUGGUUAGAUCUCUUCCCCUUGGUGCUUUAAAAAGCCAUUUUUACUUUAAGAGUUCCUCUCCUAGUGUGCAACUCUCUUCAGUUAACCCCCAAGUGAAGGAAGCCAUAUAACCACACCAUAUGUACAGCAGUGCUCAGGAGCCUGAUGGUCCAGGGUAGUAAAGGAGAAGGAUGAUCUAACCCACCUGCUGAUUCACUAACACCUGCAGAAGAAGAGAAGCAUCCAGUGGGAGGAACCACAUGCCCAGAAUUGCUAGGUGUGAGCAGCUGUAAGGUGAGUACUCUUGAGUAUUGCAGGAAAGAAUAUAUGGUUUUGUCAAGUUCAUUUCAAGUAGGCCAAGUUGAAAGACUUCGUAAAUCCUAGUUUCUGGCACAAAGGAAGUAUCUAAAAAUUUUAGUCAUCCUUGUCAUUUUUAUUAUCUUAAAACAAACAAACAAAUCUGCAUUCCUGCUCCUUUGGAGGUAGGGGUCCCAAAAUGGCAUCUCAGAAGCUACAACUGGUCCACAGAUGUGUUUUGUUUGAAAAUGUAUGGUUAGCCUGCCUCGUUUCCCAGACCAAACCACUUCCUGUUGCUUUACAUCUCACUAGUUCCCUUUUGCAGAUUAGCUGAUGACCUUUGUAGGCAAUUGAGUUUUGGCGUCUAUUAAACUCAACCCUGUGGAAGGGGAAGGGGGGGUUACAUAGAGACAGGAUUCUGCUAUUUUUUAAAAGAGGACAGGUAGUAGAUGACUUGAGGAAAGGGACUGGUCCAAAGGAAGAGUGGUCUGUGAGUGGAUAGUUCUGGAUUCAUGUUAAAGUAGGUUGGUAGAAGUAAGAGAGAAGAGCAGGGUAAGAACUGGGUUUGGGAACUGAGGUUGUGGCUUAGUGGUAGAGCACUUGCCUAGCACGUGUGAGGCACUGGGUUUGAUCCUCAGCACCACAUAAAAAUAAAUAAAAUAAAGUUUAAAAAAAAACAACGCAGUUAUUAAAAAACAAACAAACAAACAAACAAAAAAAAACCCUGGGCUUGGGAAUUCCAGCUUUAGAUAUUUACUGCCUGUGUGACCUUAGGUAAAUACCAUACCUUCUCUAAAUCUAAUUUUCUUCAUAUGCAAAAAUGAAAUUAUUAGCCUCUGUAAUUAUAAUAGGCAAAAUAAAAUGGGUUACACAUGAAAAGUUAUAGCUUCCCAUUGUUUCCUUAUUAAUUUGGGGGGGAAAGGGGGGUACUCAGGAUUGAACUCAGAGGUACUCAACCACUGAGCCACAUCUCCAGCCCUUUUAUGUAUUUUAUUUAGAAACAGGGCCUCCCUGAGUUUCUUAGUGCCUCACUCUUGCUGAGGCUGGCUUUGAACUCACUAUCCUCCUGUCUCAGCCUCCCAAGCCACUGGGAUAACAAGCGUUUGUCACUGUGCCCAGCUUCUUACUAAUUUUGAGUUAAAAGAAUCACUACAUUGAUCACUACAUUGUUAAACAAUAUUUUAAAAAAUAGAGGUAUGAGUUUAUUAACAUAAUGCAUUUGAAAAACAAUUGAAAAUCUUGCUUUUUAAAGAUAAUGAUGAUAAACUAAACAAGUAAUAUUAAUGUGUUUUUUUUCAUUAUUGUCUGUCUCCUCUAGGGACAGAAACUUGGUGUAGAUUGCUCACAUCGGGGCAUAAUAGAUGCUCAAUAAGUCUUUGUACAGCGAAUGCUUGUAUGAAUGAAGUUCAUUUUUUUCAAAAUAAAAUUAUUCAGUCCCUGCAGAUGUCACAACCCACUUGAAUCUGUCCUGUGAUCAUAAAGUCUUGCAUUUUAAUAACUCUUGAAAACAAUAAUGGUGUUUUCAAUUGGUGAUUAUGACAAAUCUAUGAAAUAGAUUUGAACACUACUAUUAACAUAUUUUGACUGCUGAAAAAAUAAAGGAUCAGAGAAUGUCAUAAAAAUAACUAUAUGAAUUCCCUUAAAAUUAUCAUAUCUAAAUUUAUCUAUAGCCAUAGUAAAAUAUUCAGAACAUAUUGUCAUUUGAAUAGCCAGUACUAAUGAGUAUAUACUAUAACCCCACUAUAGUAGUCUGUUUUGUGUUGCUUUAACAAAAUACCUGAGGCUGGGUAACUAAUAGAAUAAACUUUACCUGGCCCACAAUUUUGGUGGCCAGAGGGUCCAACAGCAUGGCACUGGCAUCCUGAUGAUGAUCCCUGGCUGCUUCGCAACAUGACAGAGAAAUAGAAAGAGAGCCUACUGCGUGCACAAAGGACCAAAUGUGUGACCUCGCUUUAUAACAACCCACUCUUAUGAAAACUGACUCCAUGAGUAAAUCCCUUUCAAGGCAGUACACUCCUGGCCUAAUCAGUUAAGGAACUUCUUAAAGAUUCCUCUACCUCACACUGCCAUACCGGAGACCUAGCUCCCAGGAAGCAUAUGAACUUUUGGAGGAUAUAUUCAAACCACAUCCAAACUUUAGCAAGCAUUUUCAUUAAAAAUUUAAAUAUAUAUUGUAUAUUUAUAAAUAAAAAUAGGUAACACAUAUAAAAUAUCUAAAAAAUAUUUUUAAAUCAAUCAAUUAAUCUAUCUAUACACCUGAGAGCUGGGAAGACUAUAUACCAAAAUAAUAACAAUGCUGACUGUUGCUCAAUGAUAAAAUUUCAUUGCUAUUAUUCAUUUUCAUUGCUAUCAUUUAAAUUUUUAAUGUAUCUAUAUUUCUAUUUUUUCAAAUGCACAUAUAUUGUGUUAUUUUAUAAUUAUGAGACUUGUUUAAAAGAUGAAGUUUUUUUUAAUUAGUGAAGAACUAUUUAAACAUAGAUUAAGAUCCAAAUUAGCUGUCACCAGGACAUUGAAAAAUGUAUGGUAUUAAACAAAUGCCUAUUCUUGGAGAAAAAAAAUUUUGAAAGAAGAGACCUCAUUUGAAAAGAAACUGAUAAAGAUAAAGGGUUAUAAAGAGAAGGAGAAUUAGGUAUAAUCUAGUAAUAUCACCAAGUGAUGAAAAUAUUUGAACAGCAUUUAUGAUAAUAAUUGCUACACUGUUUAAAAAUUAUUUACAGUUGUAAAUAUUUCUUCUUAAAUUUUUACCACUGAAAAGGAAACAGUCACAGAUGGUAAGUUAAUAAAUAAACACACUCAAAUUUAUAAGUUAAAAAUAAAGUUUUUAUGGAUUUCAGAUCCAAAUAUUUUAUAAAGAAAUUUAUUCUCCUGAUGUUCCCACAUCAUGUCUUCCAGUCAUCCAAGUUCUGUUAAAGAGAGGAAAAGUGAAUUAUCCUCAGAGAUGACUAAUUUUUUCUAGGAAAUCCCUCUAGAGAAUGUUAAGAAGGAAAUUGCUUAGCAUCAGAAUUUUAAGCUGCUAAAAGGUCACCAUCUGGCCAGGUACUGUUUUAUCUCUUUAUGUGGUAUACCAACAUCCACAAUAUGAAAAAUCUUAAAGCCCUUUAUAAUAAGCAUCCACACAAAAAGGACAAUGUGCAGCAUUAAUGAAUACACGUUAGUAGAACAGAGAUCAUUUUAUCUUUGAACUGUUUUGGAUUGUCUGAUGUACCCUGUCAUCCCUGAGGAUGCAAAGAAGCACAGUUGGGGUCCAAGAAAAGCUCUCAGACCCAGGGGGAGACCCCGCAGGCAGGUAAAAAGAGGGUCCUUGAGGUUUGUGGUUAUCUUCUGAGUAACAAGUGAGCAGAUGAGGCUCAGAGGGGAGAAUCAUCUGGAAACUGAUUUUAUAGGUGAGAUGGUAUUGGUUAUGGCCACAAGGGAAGAGCUGUCGCAGUCACAGAAUGAUAGAAGCCAUUGCCAGAGGGAGCAAAACUGGUUUUAAGCAGCAACUCCAAGAGUGAGGUAUAAUUGCAGCAACACUUCAUAAUAGCAAAUCUAAUCACACAAGUUAAGUAACUUUAUGAUCACAGUUACAUUCACGUGAAAGUAUGAGAUGGCAAUUCCAAAGGUUUUAGUCUUUCCUAGCCUGGAUUUGGAUAAGUUUCUUCUUCUUUUCUAUAUUUUCUAAAAGCUACAAUAUUAUAUAUAUAUAUAUAUAUAUAUAUAUAUAUAUAUAUAUAUAUAUAUACACACACACACACACAAUCAGUGUAUACUCAAUGUAAAAAAAAUCAAAAUAAGUGAAAAUAAAAAAUGAAAUCCAUGAAAAUUUCAACUCUGAAGCAACUAUUAGCAUUUUCGGAGAUAAUAUUAAACAAUGUUCUCAUAGUAGAUAUUAUUUGAAUGUGAAAACAAAUGGAAUUAAACAUUUUAAAGGGUUAAAAAAAUGAUUUGUUAAUGUCAUUUGGUCAAUUCCAGAUUAGAUUUGAUUAAAAUCAUGUUCUUCUGAAUUACCAUCUAGUAUUAGUGUGCACAUAUUAGAGUAGUAUAAGUGGGUGGAAGAGAAAAUUUAGCUUUUGGUGAUAUAUUCUUAUUUCUUCUUAGACUCAUGAUUGGGAGAACUGUCCUUUAUAAACAAAUGGCUGAUGGGUAUGGAUAUGUUCAUUAAGGAUACCCAUUCCCCAAAUUUGACUUUAAAAUUGUAAUGGGAAAGGAAAGUAGAAGACAGAAAAAUAAUUUCACUGAUUUAAGCAUUUUUAAAUCAGUGAAAGUGAAAUGACUGAGGUGACUUAAUGCAUCAACCUUGUAGCCUCUGAAGAUGCUUGUGAAGCUGGUGCUUCCUGGAACUUCAAAAGAAAAUAAAACUGAAGGUGCAUGGGAAGAUUUGGGGAUGAGAGGGAAGAAAAGGCUGUUUGUGAAACCAGAGUCACAUAUUGAUGGGUUAGGUUUUGGGUUUUUUUUUUUUUCUGUUUGUUUGUUUGGUGGAGUGUGUUGGAUAUUUAUUUAUUUAUUUUUGUUGAGGGCCCUGGAGAACUAAAAAAAGAGGUAGCAUAACCUCUGUCCUCAGCUGGGUUUGAGCCCUUGAGAUGAAAACAGAUAAAAACAAACAAACAAAAAACCAGAAAGCCCAAAACUGAUGGAAAGUGAUUUCAUGCUGUUGGUGAGGUUCUGGGCAAAAUCUAAGGGUUUAGAAAUUAUUAAACCAAUCCUUCUUGAGCCUUGGGAUUCUGGCUUACAUAGAAUGCAGAAUGCUUCCUUUCCAAGUGGCAGAGUGUAGCCUGGAGCUAGAGAGGAGGCCACUUGCAGCAGCUUCCAGAUAGAAAGUGCCACUCCUCAGAUGCUCCCAUGACCCGGGAGACCAUGCCAGACACUGAGCUUGGCUUUCUCACUACAAGCACUGUCAAGACUGCCAGGGUGAGGCUUCUGCUUCUGCUUCUGCAACAGGUGGGAGACGAAAGAGGAAAGCAAGAAAAGGUAGGUGCUUGACAGUGAUCACAACACCCAUCCACACUGAGGACUUCCAGAAACAUUUGGGAUACUCUGAGAGGAGCAGGUUUCCUGCUGGGUCAGAUGAGAAGGGAGAGCAGGUGGCGAGACAAGAGCCCAGGCUGCUAGAUGAGCAGGAAAAGCAAGUGUGAUUUUGUUUUACAGCGAGAUUAGUAAGAUCUGCUUGAAUGAGCAACAUACAGAUGUGCUUGAAAUCCAUUGCUUUUGUGACCACUGACUUUUGGGGAUGUUCAUCCUAUAAAAUGUUUUCUCCCCUUCCAUUUAAAACCACUGUUUAUUCACCUUCAGCACUAUCAUUUUAGAUUGUUGUACAUGUUCGUAUCAAAUGGUUGUAUCAUGUUUGAUUUUAGGAUCUUAUUCUUGGACAUUUAGGCUGUCUGGGGAUGUGCUAUAUCAAUUAUGAUACAAUGAACAUUCUUCUUGGUAGAGAUUUGAGGGUGGCUGUUUCCUCUUAGAAUAAAUAAUCAGAAGGAGAAUUUCAAGGUCAAAGAACACAUGGUCUGGGGGGAUUUCAACAGCACUACAAAUUAUCUUCCAGAGGAUUCUUCCAAUUUAUACUCCCACUGGGAAGACAUAGGUGCUUGCUCAUGUCCUUUUAAUAAUGGGUAUUAUUAUGGUAUAUAUGUUAUGUUCAUAUAUAUGUUAUAUGUGCUGUAUUCACCUUUAUAUAGGUGACUUGCUUCUUUAUCCUAUAUUUGAUGAUUAUUAGUGAAGUUAGAUGCUGUCUUUUAUUUGUUGGUGAUAUUAUUUUCUAGUAUUAGAGAUUGAAUCCAGGGCCACUUACCACUGAGUUACAUACUUGGCCCGUUUUAAAAUUUUUAAUUUUGAGACAGGCUCUCAAGAAGUUACCCAGGCUGGCCUCAAACUUGCAAUCCUUCUGCCUUAGCUCCCUGAGAAGCUGGGAUUACUGGUGUGAACCAUAGCACCUGACUUCUAUUUAUUUUUACAAAUCACUUUUUAAAAAUUUGGCUGACUUUUAGGACAUGGAGGUCAAAAGCAAAUAUUAAGUCCUAAAUUAGGAAAGAAAACUCAACAUGAAUUUUGGUGUACUUUUAUAUGCUAAAAAAAAAGGAAAGAAGAAGAGAGAGAAAGAAAAAUGAUAGUACAAGUCCUGUCCUUCCAUCUCAAAAUUACCUUUCUUUAAACGUUUCUUUCUGAAACUUUGCCUUGCUGUGGGUAUGUGUGUAGCACUCUGUGUCAGUGUGUGCACACACUCCCUUACACAAUUGCCUGAGAUUUUAGUUAGGAAUGCCCACAACUGGCCUGCAGACCCCGUCGCUGUAGCCAAGUGCCCUAGAAAAAACACUCUGCUUGGUGACAGGGCUGUGUUGACACUUCAUAUUUUUCUGUCUUCAGUUUGCAGGUAUAAUAUGUUGGUCUUCAACUAUGGACUAUUGGUUUUCACAUAAACAUUAUAUAACUUAUCCCUAUCUACCCUGUCUACCUUCAUUGACUAGGAGGGUAGGCAGGGGUGAUUUAGGGUGACUUUUGCUGCUUUCUCCACAUAUCCCUAAUGGAAGGAAAGAGACUGGCACUAACUGAACAUUUAUCAUUUAUUCAUCACAAUUGCUCUUAGAGGUUGGUGCUUCUCAUCCAAACAUUUUAUGGUUGAGAGUUAUGAGGCUAGGGGAAAGUAUGUGAAUAAAUUCAUCCAAGCUUCCAGGGGCCGGAGCGGAAUGCCCUCAAACCAAGAGCACUUCUCAAAGCCAGUAACUCCUAAAUGUCAACCAUUCACAUGCCAGCUUCAGAUGCUUUGUUACUUAUGAGCACCACGUUAAUAAACAUUUCACAUCAAAUCAAUUCAUAUUUUAACUUAAAAUAUUUAUUUAAAAAAGAAAGUUUAUGUUAGUACCAUAAAUGGGAAUCCAGUAUUAAUAGUCAUAAACAGAAGGUGUUAUAAAUAUAUCCUUCAGCAAAAUGCUGGUUUUCCAGCUGUCCUGAGGCUGUUUCUACCAGCUUGUGAUUUUUAAAAGCCCCCCUCCCUCUUUUGUUUCUGGUCCUCAACCUCAAUUUCCCAUUCAGCCCCAAUCUUUCUAAGAACUGAAGGCUGUUUAUCAAGUAAUUUUGAGGCCAUAUGCCUCCACACUUGGCCCCUUGAGGAGCCCUUUUGCCCCACUUCCAAGAAUAUAAUAUUCACCCUUUUGCAUAGAUAAGCAUACACAUUUUGGGAAACUUCGAAUUAGGGCACUUCCCACCCCUCCCUUCUAAGAAAAAAUUACUAAACCCAAAUAUUGUUGAGGGAUCAAAAUACAAAUAGCUCAGUUCUGAUACAUGUAAAUUGCCCUAGUCACUGGAUAAUGACUUUGGAAAAAUACAAAGGGCUAAUGGAUCCUUUCUUGGCAGAUAGCAUUUCUCUUCUGGAGCUCUCCACAGUGACAUUUGUUUAUUUUUAGAGUCCUGUGGCUAGCACACUGGGCUGGGGCAUGAUUGAUCUAUUCAUUUCUUCUCUCUUUAAUGUUGAAAGUGAUUGCUACAGUUGAAAACAGUCAUGAACCAAACUAGCGGCCACCAACACAAGUGAUUCAGUGGUGACUUGGGCUUUUAUUGAGGAAUUUUUUUUUUUUUUUUUUGUAGCUGUGAUGAAUUUUAUUUGGAGCAUACUUUGUUAAAUGUUGGUUCUCUGACUGGAAACCUCCUUAGGUGAUGAUGCUUUAGUUGCUAAUUAUAUCUUGCUCCAUUCAGAUAUGAUCCCAAUUCUAAUACUAGUCCCUUUCCUUCCAUUAGUGGCAGGUGUCAUUCUUAAACACUCCUUAAGUGGCAUCCCCCUGGAACCUACUGUUCAUGACAGCCAAAUUUUCAAGUUUCUUGUUCUUUGCAAAGUGUCAUUUAUUUUUUCUUAUAAGGGCUUUUACUAGUGUUAAGAAUUCUUCUUUGCAAGUGAAAAUAGAAGCCAGAAGGAAAGAGAAUAAAACACUAAUUCUGAGAGGCUCAAAAUGUUGGGCUAGAGAUAAGAGGGGGAUGCUUCAGAAAACUGGAAAAGAGGGAAACAUUAAGUACGAAUUACAAGCUUGAGCUGAUGCCAACAUAUUGAUCACUGUAAACAAAUAGUCUAUUUUCCAUGUCUGAAGAUCCCUGGAUUUUUUUUUUUUACCUAGUUGGUUGCUUGUUGCAGAAUUUAAAAUCUUUGAAGAAAUCUUUUUUUUUUUUUUAAACCAGCUUGAGAGGUAAGUACAUGGGGAGUUGCUAAUGAGGAAAACAAGAUAUUUUAUGAUUCAGACAUGAGCCAAAAUUAAAUGUGAAUAAAUGCAGGAUAAGUGCCAUGGAAGUGAUGGGAUGAGUACACCUCUCAAAAAGCAGAGAAACUGUUGAGAAGUCAUUCAGUGGACAAUAUUUAAAUGGUAAAGAUACUUUAAUGUGUAAGCUUGUGCCACAGGUAUUACAUGAAGAGCUAUUUAUCAAUUUUAUGAGAAAAGCUGCAGCAAUUGAGACUGCUUUGAAAAUAACAGCUGAAAAACUUUAUGCUUUAAGAACUCAAAGUCCUAUUAGCAGAAGAGUUUUUGCUAUCUUAAAAAUAUAUAUUUUUUAUUUUUUUAUUUUUUUGCUUUUAAUUGUUGGUUCUCUGACUGAAAACCUCCUUAGGUGAUGAUGCUUUAGUUGCUAUUUUUACUUUUGCUUUGAGUUAUCCUUGUAAACACAUUUUUGUCACUUAAUAUUAGAUUAUAAAAGCACUCAUUGGCCUGGUUCAGUGGUGCAUGCCUGGAAUUCCAGCUACUCAAGAGGCUGAGGCAGGAAGAUCACAAGUUCGAAGCCAACCUGGGCAACUUAGUGACACUCUCUAGCAAAAUAAAAAAUAAAAAGGGCUGGAAUGUAGCUCAGUGAUAGCGCAUUCAAGAGUUCUAUCCCCAGUACUAAAAAAACAAACAAACAAAAAAACACUUCUUGGCUAAUAUUUCUAGGCAUUACUCUCUCUCCCAGUUUAAUCGGACAGGGAUUCUUUUGCUGGACUUUCUGAAUGCCUCUUCUAGAGACAGUUUUUACCUGUUUCUGUGCUUUUACUACAUUUCCAGGAUCUGGACUCAGAGACUAUUCCAAAGCCAAGAACAUGUUCUAUCUGAAAGAGCCCAAAUUGUCUUUGGUUUCUCUGGGUGCCAGUGGCAAUUUGUACCUCAGGAACCAUUCCUGAACUGUUAAUCAUAGAUCUUUUUUUUUUUUAAUUUUUAAAAAUCGAGAUGGGCACAAUACCUUUAUUUUUUAUUUAUUUAUUUUUAUGUGGUGCUGAGGAUCCAACCAGUGCCUCACAAAUGCAAGGCAAGUGCUCCACCACUGAGCUACAACCCUACCUCCUCACCAUAGGUCUCAAUGACAUCUCCUGUUUUUUACCCCAAGACAGGCGAAUCAUUUAAAAAUGUGUUAGAUCUUUUUACAAUUUGGGAUCAGUCUUACUGCUCAGCCCACUCUAUCUCUUAACUAACCUCCCUCCAUACACAUUGCACCUUCUUGGAGCUGCAACAGGAAAACCUAUAGGCUCCAUAGGUACUGUUCAGUUUCCUCCAUUGAGGAGCACAAUUCAUUCAAGUCUCUGAGUCUCUGCUCCCAAAUUCAGCUACAGGACCCCAGAGCUGCUUAUUAAGAGCCUCUCUGAUUCAGUAUAGACAAGAUUGUCUUCCUCUAGCCUGUCCAAGGUAGGGGUGUUUAAUUCUUUCACUUUCAGUAGAAAGGUUUUGUGAAUUCAGGGAAAAAAAAUUCACCAACUAUCAUGGUCAUCAUGCACAAAACUUGUUCAGUCCUGAAGAGAGCUACAUUAAAAAAUGCCGUCAACACAUGGGGAGCACUCAACCUGCAAACAAAAGCCAGUCCCAAAGUGCAAUUUGGUUGUUUGCAAUGCUAAAUGUGUUUGUAUUUAUACAAAGAAUUGUUGAGAACCUAUUAUGCAAAACACUUUUUCAAUCAAAAUGAUAGAAUGAAUAUUGUUCAGGUUGUAGGACUAGCUCAUUAAAGCCAUUUUGCCUACUGUUGAAUAAACCAUAACACAAGCUGUACAAGUCAUACCUUUGUGAAUUAUGAAUGGCAGGCAAUGUGAUAAGAGGGGAGAGAGAAGAAGCCUGUGUCCAAUCCCUAGUAUUUAAAAAAAAAAAAAAAGUUAUACCAUCAUGGGGGACUCAUUCUCAUGACCUCAUUUAAUACUAAAUAUCUCCCCCAAAGCCCCAUCUACAAAAACCAUUAGCAUGUGCAUUUGAGGAUUCAAUUUCCAACACGUCAACUUUUGGGGGACACAUACAAAAUACAGCAUCAAUAUUGUGAAAGAAAUGGAAGCCUUCUUUAUAAUCAGAUUUCUAUUACUGUUAAUGUGCUGAUUUCUGUAACUGCUAUUUACUAGCUGACCCAUGUGAAAAUUUACAUUUAUCCCCUUUUAGGGGAACUCUACCUAGAAAAUUAAGCAUUAAAAUUCGUUUCUAUAAAUUGUGAUUUCUAGACUAGAAAUACCCCUGAUGGUACUUUUUGUCUUAGUUUUUAAUGAUGACAAUGUACUAAAGCCUUCAAAGACCAGAGAAACUAGUUUUUCUUAGUUAUCUUUUGGGUAUAACUUCCUGAGGCAAGAAUUAAGUAUUUCACAAAGACAUGAUCUUUGCUUCUUAAUCUUCUUAAUGGAAGGCUAGGACCUUAUUAGUCUUUGUCGACUUCAAAUUAAUAACACAGAUGCCAAAAACAGAGACAUCAUUUCAACUCAAUUUCCAUUUUUAUUAUAUUUAAGUUGCUUUAUGUAUUUUUCAGAGGAAUUUUAAAGAUGAGAGCUCUAGUGAAAGAAAAAUAAGUAUAAUUAUUGAGUACAAUCCCUGGUAAUUAAAAGGAAUUUUAUGCUUCUUACUUAUUUUUAUUUUUUAUGAUGUACUUAUAAUGAAAUUAUAUGCAGUGAUAUCAGCACAUAAUAGAAUUGCUGAUUAGAUCACAAAGUUUGCUUUCAUAGUUUCUUCCUAUUAAGUAACCCAUUAAGCUAGGCCUAUUGCCUGGUCAGAUUAUGCCAUCAUUCAUUUACCUUUUAUGGCUCUUGUCACAUUAUAAAUCUCCUUCCCUUAUCCAACUGUGGGCUGCCUUAGGAACUUGCUAUCAUUUUCAACAGUAUAUUCUGUACCCCCUGCACCCCAUGCCCAUUACUAUAGUCCCUGGCACACGAUGGACCUCAUAAACUAUAAUAACCAUAUGUUUUAGUAAACAAAUUAUGUCAGUAGACACCCGAGAUAAGUUCACUGUGAUAGCUGAGCGACAGAUUUGGCAGUUUCUUGGCAAUUAAAGCUCAAGGGAAAAUAUACUGAGCUAUAUGAUUUUUGUUCUAACUAAAAAUAGCACGCACAUGAAGAGACAGUUUUCUUGAACUGAACUCAAAAGUGCUGAAUAAGAGAAAUGACCUUAUCUGCAGUUUUGCAGAAAAAAAAAAAACAAACGCUAUUUGAAGGAAUAUAUUUUACGGGCUCUCCCUAAAAGUUUAUAUAUAACUAAUGAGAAUUUUUUUGUGUGUGGUAGUAGGAAUGGAACCCAGGGUCCCUCACAUGAUUGGCAAGCACUAUAUCCACAGCCCUUGAUGAGGAUAUUUUUGCAGAUAAUAGAUUAUAUAACCCAAGUAUAUUGAUAACAAUUAAUACAGUGUAGUUUUGUGUUUAAUUGUUUAAGCUUUCUGUCAGAUAGAUCUGGAUUUUUAUACUAGGUGUACCAUUUCCAGGCUUUGUGAUAUGAGAAAUUUACUGAGACUUGGUUUUCUAAAUCUGUAAAGUGCUAUGCUGUUUCUUAGUCAUAGAUCUGUGUGAAUUAAGUGAGACAAUUUACAUUAUCCUCCAGGUAAUGAGUAAGUGCUCAAUAAUUGAUAGCUAACAAUAUUAAUUAAAACUAGGGUGAUCUAAAAAAAUUAUUGUGUAUUCAGUAGCCACCAACCAUAUGCGGAUACCUAAAAUUAAAGUUAAAUUGAAUAAAACUAGAUUUUCAGUUUUUUGGUCACACUAGCUACAUUUCAAGUGCUCACAGGUGGCUAGUGGCUAUCAUAUUAAACAGUGAGAUUACAGGACAUUUCCAUCAUUGCUGAAAGUUUUAUUGAACAUUAAUAUUCUAGUUUGAUUAAAAUUUCUGAUGCCAAUUUGGAUUGAUUCCUGGAAUCAUACAAAAUAUUAAGAUCCUUCUAAGGUGGUAGAGUUGAAGGAAGUAAUAUGUCCAACUAUCAAUGGAAAUCCAUACUUUCAUAAUUCCUCUUGCCUUGUCAAAUGCAAUUUUGACAAAUAAUAUCAUAUCAAAAGUAAUUUUAUUCUGACAGCUGAGAAUAGUCUCUGAUUCCAAAAAUAAUGCUACAUUUCCAGGUUUUCUACUAGGCACGAUUCAGGUUUUCUCAUUAAAUCUACACAAUAGUCCCAAGAGGGAGGUAUUAUUUUCAAAAUGUAUAUGAGAAAAGUAAAGUUCAGCAUGAUGAACUUACUUGUUUCCAAUAAUUUGGAUGGUAAAAGAUAGAAAUAGAAAUUUAAAACCUGUUCUAAUUCCAAAACCAUAUUCUGCAGCCUCUCUAUUAGAAAACACUAAUAGUGCUUCUUAUGUAUGAACCACUUUAGAUAUUUUGAGCUAGACUCACACUUACUACCUGUGUGAACUUCAGCAAACUAUUCAAUUUCCUCAUCUGUAAAAUGGAAAUUGAGGAGAUGCCUCAAAGUGUUUCUGUGAAUAUUAGGUGAGGCAUAUGUGAAAUAUUUGAAAUAGAGUAUAUUAUGUGAUAAGAGCUCAAUAAAUGUUUGCUAUUAUCUAACUCAGUGUUUUAAGAAGAGCUUUUAAUAGUUUUAAUUGAUUAUAACUUGGUAUAGAAACAUUUUUAAAAAAUUAUACCAAUUUGUUUUUCAAGAUAUGAUACAAAGAGAUUUUGACCAAGACGUCCCUCAUCUCAGUUUCCCAAAAGGUGGAAAAGUUUGGCUUCAACCAACCUUUUGAUUGACAUAUCAUGAAAGGGGAAGGAUCUUCAAAAAGUCUGAUAACAGUAGCAGAAAAAUCCUCAGAGCUCAGGAGUUUGCCCAGAGGCUGAGUAGAAUCUAUCCUAACACUAUCUUUGGAGAACACAAAAGAGGCAGAGAGGAGUGAGAACUGUGGAUGGAACAUUAUCAACUAAAAGACCCCGUGUGAGCUGCUAUCAACUGCAGAUCUUACUUAUUGGUCUUAUUUUUUCAGUUAUCAAUCUCAAAAUAUUCUAGAAGCUUGUUUCCUGCUAGUCCCUGUAAGGUGAGAAAUUCAUAAACACUGGGGGAAGUUGAUGUGUUUCUGGAGAAUAUGUUUCACACACUGGGGCAUAAAAAUGAAAAGUACUGAGGCUGAGCACCCCUUUAUCAUUUAGGGUGAGGACUCUGCAUUUUAUGUCUAGAAAAAAGAGUUAAAACAAACUGCCUGCUAGUGCCUGGUUGUAGCAGUAAUGGUCACACAUAAACAAUCACCACCACCAUCACCACCACCACCACCACUGACUGCUACCACCUUCACAGGCAAUAGCAAUAUCCCAGGCCUGAACAAUUUAACUAGAAAUGGGAAACAUUUCAAGUUACAAUAGCAGGAAAACAACCCCCCAAAACCCCCAAAACAUACCCAGUAAAAAAAAAAAAAAACAUCCAAGUCUCCUUCCCUUCUUAUAUAUUUUAUAGCAGUGACCUUCUAGAGUCAGUUACAUUGCCUAACUCUUAGAAUAGUUCUAUUGAAAUGAUGUGGGAGCAGGUUUCAGACCCAAGAACUGGAAUAUCCUCCCACCAUAGGCCAGUAGAGGAGAGAGAGAAUUUCAGAUAGUUGCAAUCUUCUGGCAAUGCUGAAGUAACAUUUCAUUUUGUGUAGGGCUAGUCCUCAUCCUAACACCUAUUCUGCAGAUUCAGGUGUCUCAGGAGGAAAGUAAGACCUCAAGAAAGAAAUCAAAAGCAUCACCCAAUGGUAGAGGAAUCACUUCUUAUUACACAGCCUCAUUUAAUUUAUUAUGAAGUCAGACAAGACUUAGGAACAAAAACAAAGAAAUGAUAUUUCUUUCUAACUACUUUUUCAGUUUUCUCCAAACCUAUUAUUUUAAAAAAUUAAUAGGAUUUCUACUUCUUUCUCUAUAAAUUGAUCUGCAUUUUGUUCAUUAAAUAAAGCAAUAAUGUAUUUCUGAAUUCUUUUUUUUUUCUUUACUGAAUUCUUGACAUGUCCUGGGCACUGUGUGAGAAACUUAGGAUAUCAUUUCAUCUUUCCAGCCCUUGAGCAGUACUGUUACUCUUAUGGUUUGGAUAUGAGGUAUCCUCCAAGAGCUCCUGUGUUAAUGCAGGAGUAUUCAGAGGUGCAAUGGUUAUGUUAUGGAGCUGCAAUCAUUCCAUCCUAGUUUUAAUGAACUAACUGGGUAGCAACUGUAAGCUAGGGGGUCACUGGGGACCCUAGAAAAGUUCAUCUUCCCUGCAGUCCCUUCCCCUUUCUCUCUCUGCCUCCUGGCUUCCAUGAGGUGAGCAGCUUCCCUCCACUGCACCCUAUAGUCAUGAUGUUCUGCCUUACCUUGGGCCCAGAGCAAUGGAGUUGGCUGUCCAUUGACUAAACCUUUCCUCCAUUAAGUUGUUCCUUGUCAGGUAUUUUGGUUACAGCGAUGCAGAGUUGACUAACACAGUUAGGAAAAGGCAGAGAUGGGAUUACAAAUCCAUAGCUCUCCACCUUUUAUCCAGGAAACCCUUCUGCCUGUGGUAUGUAACUCAUUAGGCAAAAGUGUAACCUCCACACUCACCCCAGUUGCCAUCCACACUGAGGUCCUAUACUACAAAGAAUAGAAAGUUUGCUUUCAGAGGUUUUGCCUUUGAACUUUGUGUCAGCAUGGGAAUUUCCCAUCAUUUUAAAUUCAAACAAGACUCUCACCACUUCUCUUUUCCCUCCUCCUCCUCCUCCUCCUUAUCCUACUCCUCCUGCUUCUCUCUCUCUCUCUCUCUCUCUCUCUCUAUAUAUAUAUAUAUAUAUAUAUAUAUAUGUAUAUAUCACACACACUUUGAUGUUGCUCUCCACCCAAAAUUCUUUGAGAGCAGCUGCCUCUGGACCAAUGCCUUCAAAAAAAUGAAGGAGGUAUUUCUCACAUUUUUUAUUGUCUCAGAUUUAUUCUUCCCUACAUCACAUUAAAGCCAGCUUAGUUGUCUCAGGCUUUACCUAAAAUCGCCGUUACUAAAAGGAAUCAUAGGAGUUAGGGAAAAUAAUUUUUUUUCUUAGCAGUACUGGGGAUUGAACCCAGAGGCACACUACCACAGAGCUCCAUCCCUAGCCCCAUUUAUACAUAUAUUCAUUUAUCUUGAGGUAGGAUCUCUCUAAGUUGGCAAGCUGGCCUUGAACUUGUGAUCCUUUUGCCUUAGCUUACUGGGUAGCUGGGAUUACAGGUGCAUAACAUUGUGGCCAUACGAGGGAAAGUAUUUUUAAACUCUAUGUUUUAUAAAACUAUUCUCAUAGACUAAACCAGAAAUUGCAUACUUUUUCCAUAAAGUGCCAUAUGCUAAAUAGGCUUUGUAGCCAUAUGGUCUUUUUUCCAGCAAUUUAACUCUGCCAUUGUUGAAUAGUGGGGAAAAUAACCUCAAAUGAUAUACAAACAAAUGUGUGUGGCUAUUUUGCAAAAAUACUUUAUAUACAAAAGAAGGCAUUAAAACUGGGCACAGUGGCACAUGCCCAUAAUCCCAGUAAUACAGGAGGCCGAGACAGGAGAAUUCCAAAUUCAAGGCCAUCCUCAGCAACUUAGUGAGACCCUGUCUCAAAAAUAAAUUAAAAAAAAAGGAAAAAUAAAAAGGUUUUGGGUGUAAUUCAGUAGUAGAGCACCCGUGGGCUCAAUCCACAGUAACAAUAAAAUAAAAUAAAAUAGGCAUUGGGCUGAAUUUGGCCUGUGGUCUACAUUGUGAUGAACCCUGGUCUAUCCCAGGACUGAAGACUAUCCAAUAGAAAUGUAAAGUAAGUCACAAAUGUAAUUUAAAAAAUUUUAGCAGCUAUUUUUUUAAAAAAAAAAAAAGGAAAAAGGAACCAAUGAAAUUAACUUUAACAAUAUGUUUUUAUUCCCAUAUAUCCAAAAUAUUAACAUUUCAAUGUAUGAUUUAUAUCAAAAAUUUCUAAUUAAAUAUCUUUAAUUCUUUGUGUUCUCUGAAAUCUAAGUGGAUUUUACACUUCUAGCACAUCUUAAUACAGACUAGCACAUUUCAAAAGUUCAAUAGUCCAUGUGGUUAGUGGCUACUAUAUUGGAUAGGACAGCUCUAGACUGCCCUAUUUCUACUUCCUCACCUUCUUCCCUUCUUCUAGGUCUACCCAUUUCCUUCCACUCACAAGGCCUAUUCCAGUAUCAUUAUUCCUUUCCUGCAUUUAGGCUAUUCAAGGGGAUUGCUCUGGAGCUGCUUAUCAUGGCCUUCAUCACUGCAAGAUCCAUAGAACAGUGUGGAAGUCUAUGGGAUGAGGUUGUAGGGUGUCCCAGGAGAAAGAGUUAGCAAUCCACUUUCUGAAAGGCAGGCAGAUAUGUGUGCAUACUGAUAAAUCCAGUAACUUUUGAGAUUUCCUACCAGAAGGAGUUUUAGAACCUCCUCUUUAUUUUUCCUUCAUUAUUUAGAGCAUGUCAAUUAGUUCUGGAGUUCCUCUUCUCUGUCUCUGUCUUUGCUUCUUUGUGUCUCUCAGAACAAACACACACACACACACACACAGGCAAAAUAUGUCUUCCAUGUAAAUGGGGUUAUAUAUUGACAAAAAACAUCAUACCUCAAAAAUGCAUGUAAUACAUCUAACCUACUGAACACCAUAGCUUAGCAACAAAGUAUGCUGUAGAAUAUCGGUUGUUUCACCUAGUGAUCACAUGGGUAAGCUGGGAACUGAGACUCCCUACUGCUGCCCAGCAUCCAGAGUGUAGUGCUUCAUACUGCUAGCCCAGGAAAAGAUCAAAAUUCAAAAUUCCUAGUAUGGUUUCCAUGGAAUACUCAGGCUUUUACACCAUCAUAAAGUUGAAAAAUUAUAAACCAUCAUAAGUCAGGGACCAUCUGUAUUAUUGUUAUACUGCCUGACCAAAAGAAUACUAGUUCUUGAAGACUAAACCAUCCAAUAAAUUUGUAAAGAGGAAGAGUAACAUUCCCCCCCAACUGCCCCUUAAUUUGUAAUGCUGCCUCACUCACUUUAGAAUCAAAGCUUUAUGAUGAAUUAUAGAGCAGUAUAAAUUCCUUUCCUUCAUCUUUUUACCUCCCAUUCUCCAGUUUCACCUGCCUGGGUUUGCUGAGAAGCAGACUCAUCACUGAGCCACAUACUUCUUAUGGCCAUACCCCUGGUUGCAUGAAGACACAUCUGGAAACUUGUGAAGGUCCAGCUGAAUUCUUAGGUCAUGGCUGUACAACUUGGAUGGGGCCAGACAGCUGCAACAGAGACCCCAACUACAGCGUCCUAAACAGUAGAGAGUUUGUGUCUCACCAUAUAACCAUCAUAAAGAAGGUAGCCUAGGUCUAAAAGGCAGCUUUGCUCUGUGAGACUAUUUAGGAACCUUUUCGUUAUGUUGUUUAUCACCCCAUGGGGCUUGUCUUCCUCUGCAUUGUUGAAGACUGCUAGCCACCAAACCAUUCUGUAUGAUAUAGCUGGAAAAACAGUGGGAACAUGGGAGCAGGCAUUUGAAAUGCUUUAAAAUUGAACCCUAGAAGCAGCACACAUAAUUUCUGCUCAUACUCUAUUGGCAAGAUUUAUGUGUCAGCUUUUAGUUACUGUGACAAAAUACUUGAGAAAAAAACAACUUAAAGGAGGAACAAUUUAUUUCUACUCAUGGUUUCAGAGAUUUCAGUCCAUAGUUGCUUGGUCCCAUUGCUGUGGGUUGUUGUGAGGCACAGCAUCAUGACAGGUAGCCUGAGUUAUGCCAUUCAAAGGUACUUUGAGUAGAACCCCUUGCUUUGACUAGAACCCCACCUCCUGAAAUUUCUAAACCUACUAAUAGUCCCUUAAGCUAUUAAUUCAUCAAUGGGUGAAUCCACUGGUGAGAUUAGAGCCCUUGUGAUCCAGUCACUUCCCCAAGGACACACCUCUGAGUGCUGCUGCAUUGAAAUCAAUCCUUCAACACAUGAACUUUUGAGGGACAUUUUAGAUCCAAAUUGUAAUAGCUUAGCAACACAUACAUCUCAAUAUGUGAAAGGCUAAGGAAUGUUGUCUAAGAAGACAAUCAUGUACCCAGGAAGGAGGAAGAGAAGAGUGAAUUUUGGUGGGUAAAUAAUAAACUCUGUCAAAGGGUAUUUUUCCCAGGCUGACUGGGCUGUGGUUGUAUGGGGAUCAUUCUUCCAAUUUCAAUUAUAUCAUCUUAUUUAGUAAUUUUAACAGUCCUAUAGAAUAAAUAUUAUUAUUUCCACUUCAUAGACAAGGAAAUUGAUAUCCUAGGUUAUUUUACUUUCAUAGAAUAGUACUUUUUUUAAUAGUACAGUCUUCCUUUUACUAUACUAUAUAUAAGGCAUAUAUAACAAUAUAUCCUCAACUAGAUUAUACAAUUGUAUCCCCAGCAUUACAAAAUUCAGCAUCUAAACAUAGCAAUUGCUUAGCAAAAUUUUGUCUAGUGAAUGAAUGCAUGAAUGACGAACGUGUAUUUAUGCACAGACAUUAGAUACUGAAUAUCAAACUCCAAAUCAGGAUACACAUGACCUUCUCCUGGGGUCCUAAUUUUAUAGGAUGACUCACAGAACUCAGGGAAGCAUUUGCUUACAUUCACAAGUUUAUUAGAUUAUUAAAGGAUAUAAUAAGAGAAAACAGAUGAAUAGCCAAAGACAUAUGUGAAGUAAGGUCUGGCAGAAGGGGAGCAGAACAUCUUUUUCCAGUCAGCCAUCUUGGGGGCCACUCCAGUGUGUUGUCAGUUUGGAAUCUCUCCAAUCCUAUAGUUCAGGGGUAUCUUUGGAGGCUUCCCCAUAUUGGCACCAACUCAACUGUAGCCCCUCUUCCUUCCUGGAGUAUGGGGCAGUAGACCUAAAGUUCCAAGUUUCUAAUCAUGGCUGGGACUUUCUUAGUGACCAAUUUCUAUUGAGAAACUCAUAGAGUGACAUCAUUAGAGCAAGAGACAGUCUUGUCACCCAGGAAAUUCUAAGGGAUUAGGAACUGUCAGGUACUAGGAUCAAAGACCAAAUAUCAGAACAAAAGAUUCUUCCAGCACCCCAAUUGCUAAGAAAAUUAUAGGGGGUCUUAGCAGCUGUGUGCUAGGAACUGGGGAAGAAAAACAAAAAUUAUAUAUUUCUUGGCAUAAAUCACAAUAUCAUAAGGGGUAUCAAAGAUGGCUACUAAUUUCUUAAAUAAUGCUGAGUCAUGGGAUUUUUGUUUAGUUAGGUCAUCAGUUUAGCAUUAACAAAAACACCAAACCAAUAAAAAAAUCUAAUUUCUUUUUUUUUGGGGGGGGAGAGGUACUGGGGAUUGAACUCAGGGGUAUUCGACCACUGAGCCACAUCCCCCACCCUAUUUUGUAUUUUAUUUAGAGAUAGGGUCUCACUGACUUGCUUAAUGCCUCACAAUUGCUGAAGCUGGCUUUGAACUUUUGAUCCUCCUGCCUCAGCCUCCUGAACCGCUGGGAUUACAGGCAUGCGCCACCAUAGCCGGCUAAAAAUCUAACUUCUUAAUGGUUCAGUAAAACCAGGUAGGGUCAGUCCUUAGACCCAGAAAAAAAAAGAAAGUAGCCAACACUGAAUUCGUAUGUGGUACGCAUUUUGUGUCCUUCCAAAAUGUUAUUAGGUAAAUAGCAUAUAAUUUUUACUUAUUCAGAAUGAGAUUCAGAAAGAUUAGAUUAUUCAUUCAGGUUUAGUCAGGUAGGAAGUGGAGUGCUGGCAGCUGGAAGUUUGCUGGGGCGCCACAGCCAAAGGGGCCCCAGCAAACUUCCAGCUGCCAGCAGUGGAGGACUAUGGGAUUUCAAUCUCUACCAGCUGGCUUCCAAAGCAUCUUCUUAUAAAAUGUAAAUAUUCAGAAAAAUAAUCUGAUUUUCCUGUUUAAAAGUACUGAAAUAGUAGUUUCAUCCCAAAUAAUAACUGUAUCAAAAUUCAUUUGUGAAAUAUCUCAUUUGAUCCUCUAGGUGGUACACAGGCAAGACUUGCUAAACUAGUUUAGCAGUGAGACUACUAGGAUAGGAAGAGUGGGUUGGUAACAUUGUUGCAGCCAUGUUCUAUCUUCUCCUGAAUCUUUUUUUUGAGGGGGGGCUAUUUCAUUGUUGCCUCUACUCAAAGAAUUAAUUUUAAUUAUUUUAUCUCAUUUAACCAUAAACCUCUGAGGCAUAGCUUCCCAGAUUAGUAUGAAAAUCACUGUUCUAAAAUCACAAGGAUUUGUCUGGAGCACAGGUUUAGUUCUGUACUAGCCAUGGGAAUGUGACCCUGGGGAUAAAAGAAACUGUACUUUAAAGGAGAUGAGGCAUAGGGAGCGCUACCAAACCUCCUCCAUGUCCCUGGUGUUAAGGACUUCCUCAACCAGUAAAACCUGCUUUAAUUUUCCCCUCUCAAUUGUUUAACUCUAGGUCAGACGGAGUAAGUGAUUGGGGAGUUUGGGGAAAAGAACUGGGCAGGCAAAGCCCAGUCUCUUUUUGGGUUCCUUUUUCUUCAGAACCAUUCUACAUUCUGCUUUACCAGGAUAGUGAUGGGCUUGUAUUAGUAAGAGAAGUCUUAGCAAGUCCAGCCCUCUGCACCUAUAAAGCCAUGUUCUCCAACCUGCCUUAUCUGUAAGAAAGGUGAUAAUUGGAUCUCUAUUUGUCUGCCUCCUGAUUGCUCUCUCAACGGGUUACAAACUCAGGGAAAAUGGACUUUAUGUACUGGUUACCUUGGAACUCAAGAAGAUAGUUUUUUGUUCACAUGUUGUUUGUUUUUAUUUUUUAACCUUCCUUGCUGAUAGAAGUGUCUUAAAUUAACUAUAAAGUUGAGUCUAAGUUACAAAUAAAUUUUGAUGUGUGAGUCGAGUGUUAACCUGUGGAUGUGAAAAACUUUUCUAUGCAAUUAUACACCUAAAUAGGUAUUACUUUCUCACAAAAAUCAGUUUUUGUUAUAGGUGGUUCUGACAAAAUUCGGUAUUUUGGACAUUUCAAAAUGCCCUAAGAGAAAUGGAAUGAUAAUUGUUAUGCUAAUAAGAUGUCACUAAAGUUGGAAAAAUGGAAGUAAAAUACUUUUAAAUUUCGAGUCAUCAAAGUGAUUAGCAGUAAAAUGUGUUAGUUGAAUUUUAGAUACAAGAAAGUCAUAAAAAUUUGUUCUUUGAACUCCUACUAUUUCUUCUCAACUAAUGAAGACCCAUUCCCCUUCCUCAUUUGCAUCCCAAACACUGCUGUCCUUUACUAUCCUCUUUCCAGGUCUUCCCUCCUGGCUCUUCCUGUGUUGUUAAUGAUAUAAAUGCUGGGCUCCUGGUCCUCAUAUUUGUCUCUUAAUUGAAACCUUUUCCAUGGGCAGCUUCAUCAACUAUGUGCUGAAGAUUUCUAGAUCUCUCCUUUACUCCCAAAUUAUUUACCUGAAUCACAUAUUUGGUUUCUAACUGCUAGAGACUUGGCUUCUAACUGCAAAUGCAACAUGUCCAGAAUUGAACUCAUUUUAUGCACUCUAUCUUCCAAAUUGGAAGAUUCAUAUCAAAAUCUGUUUUUCCAACUUUUCUUUAAAAAUUGGAAAAUCUGAUAAUAUUGACUCUGUGACUACAAUUGAGGUUGGAUCUGAGGAGUAGCUACCCCCUUAAAAAGAGGUCUAUGGGAUUGGGAAUGUGCCAUGUAGUAGAGCACUUGCCUAACAUGUGUAAGGCCUUAGGUGCAAUCCCUCACAUCCUGUUGUUCACAAUGUUUACCACUUCCCACUAUUGUACACAACUGGUUGAAUUCUCAGUAUGUUUCCAGUCUGGCCCUGUAGAUGCUAGGGUUUGUGAUCACCUAUCUAGGCCAUACUAGACCAUUUGUUGAAUUAAUAAAUGAAUCAAAACAAAAAUAAGUAGUAUCAUUCCUUUCUGUUAAGACUGAAAUUACUGGAUUUUACUGAAUCCACAAGUUACUAAAACUGAUUACAACUUUGUGUAAGUUACUAAGCCUUUCUGUACCCUCAGCUAAUUAUCUAUAAAUAAAGAUAUUACUAGUAACUACUUCACAGAGUUAUUGUGAGAGCUAAAAUGUAUAGGUGAGAGAACAGUGCCCAGCACGUAGUAAACUAUGGUGUUUGUGGCUUCAACUUCUACUGUUUUAGUUACUGUCUUAUGGAUUUUUUAAAAACAUACCUCCCCCAAAUAUUUCUAAAAGAGAUGAUUUCAUAAGAUUUAAAAACUUAAGAGUUAACCUGGCUCAUCCAGGUUAACUCUUAAGUUUUUAAGAAUACAUCUUUAAUUGUGUGAAAUUUUCAUUACUAAGAAGUGAAAAACCUAGUUAUUGAAAGAAAAAUGAAGACUGGCAUGGUGGCUCACACCUGUAAUCCCAGCUACUUGGGAGGCUAAGGCAAGAGGAUCAUAAGUUCAAGGCCAACCUAGGCAACUUAGACUCUCAGAAUAAAAGAUUAAAAGGCUUGGGGAUAGUUCAUUGGUUACUCUUAGUUUCAAUCCUUAGAACUGCUAAAUAAAUAGUGAUACUUCUAACAAAGGUGAGGUCUUGACACCUGAAAGUAUGAGGAUGAAUAAACCCCAAAUGGAUUGAUAGACACUUGAUACCAACUCCUUUCAUGAUGACUUGGCCAAAGUUUGUCUGUGUGAAAUUCGUGCCCAGGUAAAGGCAGGCAUCAUUAUUUGUGCAGUUCUGUUCUCCACAUGACCUUGAACAGCUAGAUCCAGUCUUCUUCCCUAUGGCUGGAGUUGUUGUUGUUGCUGUUGUUGUGUGUGUGUUUGUGUGUGGGGGUGCUGACCAGGAAUGCCUGAUCUAUUGUCACAAAAUAUGUUCUUAUUUCUCUUUCAACAUUUGUUUUCAGUGUCACUUCUGCACAGUCUUCUCUGAUGGCCUGACCCUUAUUUUAAGCAAUUACACUGAGUUAUAAUGCUUGUUUACAUGCUCAUUUCUCUUGAAAUGAAUUCCUUGAAUCCUAGGACUACAUCUUAUCCAUUUAAAUAGAAAGGAUGUAGUUGCAUGCAGAGGUUCUGAUGCUAAGAUCCCUGUAAUUCAGUCUGGCUCUGCCACUAACAGGCCGUGUGAACUUCAAUUUCCUCAUCUAUGUUAAAGAGAUAGUAAGAGAAUAUUUAUGCAAUGAUUUUUAUAUCAUUAUGAACUCAUGAAUAUUUGUUUACUUCUUUGGGUUAUAAUCCAACAUUAUUAUUAUUUUGUUGAUGAAAUUGCUCCAGCUCUUUCAGAUGGCUCCUGUGUCCUUUUGACAAGCUUCCAUCUCUCUCUCCUCUCGCCCUAAAUUUUUUAUUUCUAACACUAUAAAAUGUUCCAGACUCAUCUGGUAUUUUCCCUCCUUUAACUGGCAAAUUGUAUUUAGAAGACAAGAUUUAUGUGCUGUGUAUGCUUCUUGUUAUGAGUGUACCACUGCUUCUAGGCUUAGUGGACAGAACUAGGGAAUGGGUAUAGGUUUAUUAAGUUAUAUAUAGAUACAUAUCUCGAUCACUCCAACAAUCAUCUAUUUGUCUAUAAACAUAAAUUUGUACUAAUCUAGUACCACAGGGUACUCCUGUAUAUUUGUGACAUUUUCUAGGAUAGUGAAGGGCCUGGCUCCCGAUAUCUACAAUUGUUUACUUAUUUGCUUGACCCUAAUAUUAUGGGUUGAAUUAUGUCACCCUAAAACUCAUGUAUUGAAAUCCUAAUCCCCAGUACCUCAUAAUUUGACUUCAUUUGGAGAUAGAGUCUUUAUUUUGGAGAUAACCUAGUUAAAAUGAGAUAAUUAUAGUGGGCCCUAAUCCUACUGAUAUCCUUAUCAAAAAGAGGAAUUUUGACACAGACACACAUACAAAGGGAAAAGAUGACCAUCUACCAGCCAAAGAGGGAGGCCUGAUACAGAUCCUUCCCUCAUAGCCCCCUGAAGGGACCAAGUAGUUGUUCACAACUCGAUUUCAGAUUUCUCGCCUCUAGAUCUAUGAAAAAAAUGAAUCACAGUUGCUUAAGUCCCCAGUUUAGUAUUUUGUUAUAGUAGCCCUAGCAAACCAAUACAGAUGUCCUAGUAUACCUAUAAAGUUAAUUCAUAUUUUCUAAUGCUUACCUAAUGAGAUAUUUACCAACUAUAAUAGGAUGUUUACAUAUAGCUCUUUUUGCCUCUAUCCAAUGAACAUCCAAACUUUAUUUUCCAAAGUCGACUUCCUUUUCACUUACCCCUUCAAUAAAAUACACAUUUGUAAUAUACUUAAUUUGUCAGUCUAUUUCCAUCCUAUAAUUCUCCAAUAUCUGGUUGAUUUUUUAAAAUUCCAAAACAGCAAAUAGAUUUUGACAAACAUAUAAAGUUAUGUUCUCUACUACCUAUAGAAUAUGAAACAAUUUCAUUACUUUAAAAAGUCCCUUCUGCAACCCUUCUGGAGUCAGUUCUUCACCUCUCCCCCAACCUCUGCCAAUAGAAAGUUUUCUAUCCCUAGAGGUUUGCCUUUUCCAUGUAUUAUAUAAAUAAAAUCAUAAUACAUAGGCUGGCUUCUUUCACUUAGCAAAACUUAACUGAGAUUCACCCAUGUUGUUGAGUGAAUUAGUAUCUCAUUCCUUUUAAUUGUUGAUUAGUAUCCCAUGGUAUGGAUAUACCACUGCUUAUCAAUUUACCUGUAGAAAGACAUUUUCAUUUUUGAUUUUGGCAGUUAGGAAUAAAACUGCUGUCAACAUUCAUGUCCUGUUAUUAUUGUUUCGUAUUGUGUGUGUGUGUGUGUGUGUGUAUACAUCUUUUCAACUCACUUGGCUAGGAGUAAAAUUAUUGGUUCACAUGGUGAAUGUAUAUUCAACUUCAUAAGAAACUGCCAAACUGUCUUCUAAAGUGACUGGAUUAUUUUGCAUUCCCCCGUAAUGAAUUAGAGUUCCCAUUGUAUCACAUCUUUUCCAGCAUUUUGUACCAGUAAGCUUUUUUUCCCCAAAUUUGAGCAAUUCAUUUUAAAGAUUCAUCUGUGUAGUAUUAACCAUUUUACAUUCAGUGUUCUGAUACUUAAUACUAUAUGAUGUACAUCCACCACAUUUUACUAUCAAUUCUCCCAAUAAUGUGCACUCUAAUCAUCUUCAAAUUACACCAUAUAACUUGUUUUUGUAAUUCAUUAUGAUCUCAAAGAUGUUCAUUUUUUACCUUUUGGUACUGGUGAUUGAACCCAGGACUUUAUACAUGCUAAGUGCACAUUCUAAUACUGAGCUACACUCCAAGCCCCUAACCUUCUUUUUUAUUAACAAGUUGCUAAUUAGCCAUGAAAUUGGUGAGGCUUCCUGGAAUGAGAUGACAUUCCAGGCUAACAUCUCAAUUUUAUCUCAGAAAUUCUAUCACUAUAAAGGUUAUGGAAAGUUUAGUUCAUUUUAAUAUGCUAAUUAUCUUGCAUUGGGCAUAGCUUUAAUUAGAAUAUAACACUUUUUUUGAGGGGUGGGGGGGAGUACCAGGAUUGAACACAGGGGCACUAGGCCACUGAGCUACAUCCCCAGCCCUGUUCUAUAUUUUAUUUAGAGACUGGAUCUCACUAGGUUGCUUAGUGAUUCCUUGUUUCUGAGGCUGGCUUUGAACUCUCGAUCCUCCUGCCUCAGUCUCCUGAGCCACUGGGAUUACAGGCAAGUGCCACCACUCCCAACAGAAUGUAACACUCUUGAGGCUCCUAUUGAAAUGAGUCAGUGCCAUAUACUAUUGAGCAUGGGUCUAUCUUGUUCAUGUAUAGUUGUGCUGAGAGACACGGCCGAGUCUGUGUGGCCGCCAGGGGCCAUACAGACUCGGCCGUGGCUCUCAGCAUAGUUGGUUCUUCCUGAAGUGCCAUUAUCCAUGCCAUCACAAUCUUUGUUGGCUUUAUAUCAAUAUUGAUUAGGGAAGAAGGCUAGAAAAACAAGAAAAUCAUGUAUGAAAAACCAAAAGAAACAAGUAAACCAAGGCAUUUGUAGAGCGGGGAAAAGAACCAAUUUCAUUAAGAUUGGGGGGUACCCAGAAAAAGCUAGGUACUUUAAUGGAACACAUAAUUACUAAAUGUGAGGAUUCAUAUAGAAGAUUCUAGGCAGUUUGAAGCAAUAUUUAGAGAAGAGGUUCUCAAACUUUUCCCUUUACACUCUUAAAAACUGAGAAUUCCAAAGAACUUUUAUGUGCAUUAUAAUUAUAUUUAUUAUAUUAGAAAUUAACAUAUAGAAAAUUUGAAGUUUUUAAAUUAAAAACAAUAAUAAAGCAAUCAAUGGCAACAAGGAAAAAUCUUCUGUAUGAAAUACAACAACAAAAUGAGUGGCAUUGUUGUUUCACAUUUCUGUAAAGCUCUUUCAUAUAUGGUUUUACAACAGAUGACUGGAUUCUCCUGUCUGCUUCUAUUUCAAUGUUUCCUUGUCACAUGUCGGGGAGCCUCUGGAAAACCCUGCCAUAGGCUUGAGAGAGUGUGAGUGUAAACCGUAAACAAUGUCCUAUGAAUACUGUUUACCAAUGUCCUAGUAUUAUUAUAGAAAUAGUUCUGACGGUCCUCUUUGAAGGACCUGGGGACACUCAGGCUACACUUUGAGAACCACUGAAAGUUACUAUUAGACAAUCCAAUGUCAACUGAAAAUUAGCCAAGAGGUUUCGUAAGUUAGGAUUUACAUAGGGUUUACUUUUUUUAGAAAGAUGACACAGCGGACAUACUGAAUGGUCUCAUUAUAAAGUAAGCUGAGAACACAGAAAACAUGCUAAUUUCAUCCAUCAAAUGAAAAGCAGAAAUAAGGGACUGCUCAUUAGGUAAGAGAGUUAGAUGAAGGGCACCCCUAGAAGGCGUGGACACACUCUAAGGACAAGUAAAACCGGCAGAAGAUGCCGCUAAAGUAGUCAGGAGGAAAGAACGGUAGUUCUUAGGUGAGGAAGGAAAAUGGUUUCCAGAGGCCUGGGAGUUGAAGGAAUUAGGCCAGGACAGGCAUGGGAACCAAGAAGAGAUCAACGUCAAGGGCAGCGCGAGCGCAGCGCUGGGCUGCUGCCCACCAUCCUCAUUGCCUACCCCCCUUCGCCCCCCAAGGUGGGCCAGGGGUGAGACGGGAGGGUCAGGGCCGUGCCCGACUACGAAUGGGGUUACGGUUUCUUUUUCAGUGAAGCCAGGAGAGAAAAGAGAUGGCGGGGUGCUCAAUAGAGGGAGGAGGAUAGACCGUGGCGGGAACCCGAGGAGCCCAAGCUGGACGCUGAGGAAGAGCCCACCCCGCUGGUUGGAGACCUCCGCAGAAGAAGGACGGUUCUGUUACUAGGCAACCAGGCCCGGGCCCGCCUCCCGCCCGUGUUGCCAGGAGACGACGAGGCCUGGGGGAGGGCGGCGGAGCGGGCCCUACGUGCUGACGCUAAUUGUAUAUGAGCGCGAGCGGCGGGCUCUCGGGUCUUUUUUAGCGCCAUCUGCUCUCGGCGCCGCCUCCUGCUCCUCCCGUCUCCGCUGCCUCCCUGAGUCACUGCCUGCGCAGCUCCGACCGCCUGGCUCCCCGUACUAGCUGCCGGUAAUGGAUGGGGGCCUGAAAGGGAACGUGGAGUUGGUCGGGCGGCCUUCACGGAGGGGAGGGACGGUGAAGCGAGAGCAGUGGCUGCUGGCUGCCCUGGGCCUCCGGGUCGUCCGGUGAGGCCGGAGUGGUCUGCGGAGUCUGGACACGGCAGCCUGAGAGGGGCCCAGGGCCGACCGGUGCUUUUUUCAGGGGCCGCUGAGGAGACGCGGGGGGUCGGCGCGCCCUACCGUGCUUAAGGUUUCUCGGGGCCCCACCGGCUUCUGCGCGCGGACUGGAGCGAGGCCGCGGCGACGCCCGGGUAUUUUAGAGGAGUCGGCUGCCGCGCGGCAAGGAGCGGGAGGCGCUGGGAAUGCGGGCCGGGCCAGUGUGGAGCCCGCCACCUCGAAGCCUCUGUCUUUUCCCCCCCAAAGUAAUAACCCGAGGGAGGCAGCUGGGGGAUGGAAAGAACCGGGAAGGCUGCGAAUUCCGACGGGAGGGAGGGAGGGGCCGCUGAGGGACCAGGCCCGAGGCAGGGGGGCGGGGAGGCUGCGGGGCUCUCCGCCCACUGGGGGCGGUGGCCGUGCGGGGGGGGGGGGGGGGCCCCCCCCCCCCCCCCCCCCCGGCUGCUUCCUUCGACACGUGGUGAGGGGGCUGCGUGGCCGCCUCCUGGCCAAGAUUGGAGACCCUUGCAUCGGGUGGGAGUGUGUGUGGGGGUGCUAUUCUUACUUUCAGUGAAAGUUGUAGAGUUGGUAGGGUAUGAAAAGGAAUGAUGAGCUCAUAAGUCCCUGUCCCCUGGGUUUCCAACUCUUAACUGCUUCUCUUUGGUCUUAAAUCUUUAUUGGUACCAGAGGAAAUUUCGAAUGUUAGCUGAUACACUGCCAGGAUUUUAAAGAAUUAAUGCGUGUAAAGCGCUUAUUUUAGCUGUUAUUAACAAAAGAUAGUAUUGUGUGUCCCAGAUACAGUUAGAACUUAAGAUGGGGAGGUGGGUGUCUGCACCCACCUUUGUUUUUGAGGAGUGGGGAAGGGGAAGGAUUGAUCCUCAUCUAUCUAAACCUUCAAACGUUUCUAAGAAGGUAAAGGGUUUGGCUUGUUAUAGUUUAGAUUCUCACAGGCUUUCCGACAUUAUUUCCUUUAAUGAGGUUCCCAGAAUAGGAUACUUCACUAGCUAUUUUUAAGGUGAAUGGGGUGGCGGGUUAAUAUAAACUGACCAACCCAAGUGAGUACCUGCUACCUUGUCUAUGUGCCCCAUUUCAGUAAAAAUCUCUUGGCAAUUAAAGGAGGCGGCCACUGAGGUCCUGUGGGGGAGGGCUAGUACAAAGGAUCACUCAAGCAGGCACAGGCUGUCCUCAAGGAGUCCCCGGUUUAAACUAUUACUGGUCUGAUGAGUUCCAGGAACACUAUACUUUGAAAAUCUCAGAAUUUAAACCGGUUGCAAAUUUUCAGGAGAGGUGUAAAAGAAAAUUUGCUAUUUUUGAAAAUACCAUCAAAACAUCUUUUGAAAGUAGUGUCUGUGUCCUCUUUUUUUUUUUUUUUUUUUGCAUGCUGGGGAUUGAACCCAGGGUUUUGUGCAUGCUAGGCAAGAGUUCCACCCCUGAGCUACACCCCCAGCCCAUGUCCUGUUUUCUUGUCAGCUUAGAUUAAUGCUCCUUAUCUUAGAAGUAAUAGUUCUACCUUUAGAUAAGAGAAAAAUCAUACACAUAUAUGUAAUUUAUUUAAAACUGGAGGAAAAUGAGGUUUUCAGUGGUCUUUAGGGAUUUUAGUGUCUCAAGCUUGUUUGAAGUUGCUAAAGUGGAAAUACAUGUUCUAAAUCUAAACCGUGCAGUUGUACUUUUAAGACUGGAGCUAACAUAAGCAGGUGUACUUAGAAGACUUAAUCUUUUGUGAUUUUAAAAUGUUCUUUUCAAGCCAGUUGUUGGUUAAAGUAAUGAAAUGAGAAACUUCACCAUACUUGGGUGCAAAUCUUUGUAAAUUUUAUCUAUUGUGAAAUAUCUGCUUUUUAUAUUACACCCAUUAAUUGAACGAAUUACUAAGUUAAUACUAAAUGAGGCACAUGACUGUCCUUACACAAGGUUUUUUUUUUUUUUUUGUUUUGGUACACUCCUAGCAGAAGUAAUGUGAUCUAAAUGCCAUAGCUUAUUUUAUUAUUCAAUUUGCCCAUAUUGGCCCCAGGUGAUUAAUUUGAUUAUAAAUUCUUAAAAUAUUUCAAAACAAGUGGUCUUUCUAUAGAAGGGGCUAAAAGAAGCAGAAUGCUUGAUUUAUAAAGGUCUGAGGAUGUCAAAACAAAAUUUUGUUACUUUAUUUAGUAUUUUGCUUGGUUGUAAAUUCUCAAUAUAAUUAAAAGAUUAAAGAAUGAGCCCCUCAUUUUCUCCAGUAUAGAAAUAAUAAUGAUCAAUCUAUUUGGAGUCUUAAGGUUUAAUCAAACCUGAAAUCAUUUGUAGUCUUGGCUAAUACUUUGAGUAAAUAUUUAAGUUCCAUUUAAACUCAUUUCAUCUGAAUAAGUAGUUUUUGUUGGGUAGAGUGGUGGUUAGAAGGUGGGAAUAGUUGCUUUACACCUCUCUUUGUUAAGUUUUUCAUUGCAUCAACAGCAUUAGAGCACAUUACUGGUGUCAUGGAAAGUGGCUUCUGUACCUUCCUUGAGUUACCAAUUCUGCCAUUUAUUGCUGCCUAUUUGAAUACUUCGCUUGCUGCGAAGUUUGUGCCUGUUGAUAGCCACCCUCUCCCCCAAUGUGGCCUGUGAUAAUCAUUUUUUAAAAUAAAGUAAGAAUACAAAAGUACAAUGGAAAAAUAAUAAAAGAGCAGUUACAGGGUGAUUAUUCAAGCCUUGUUUUAAAAUUCUUUUAACAAGGAAACAGUAUGUUAUGGUUAAAGAAACUAUCCAGGGUUACAUAACUGAGCAAUGAGGACUUAAAAUGAGGUGAUUUUUGUAGUGGUUUUUGAAGGAUGUCCCUUAAACUGUUUUGCUAUAUUUUGGAUUCUACAGUGCUCUAGGGAAAAGCUACAACAUUGUAUAGUUAUGAGGUGUUCUUCCAUGUAGUUGGGCCAUAUGUACGCCACUUAUGUAUGCUGCACGUACAUGUAACUUUGGAAGUACCAUGAGGAUAAAUUUUGUAAGUAGGAUGAGUUUUGACCAAGUGUCCUGGGUCCUAGGAUAAGUUUCCCUGUUAUUGGAUUAGAUGAUACUCUAUAGAUAUUUUUGGACAGAAAAUAACAGUGUUCUCAAAUAGGAAUUCAUUUUGCUUGGGAGUCUAAUACAAAGUUCUCAGUUGACUAUUGAUAGCACUGAAAUGAAAAAACUGAGUGUAAAAAAAAUAAGCUGUUUAAGCUGAGGGGUUGUGUUGUAGCCAAAUGCAGUGCUAUCUAAAAAUUUUUGCUUAAAGUUCAUUUGGAAUGAGGUCUGAGGUAAAGGGAAAACUAUAUCCUGGGGUAUUAUUGUUUCCUUCUUUGGCUUUAAACCAUUUUUGUUUUUUAGUGAUUGGCUGUUUCAUCAUGAAGUAGUCAUUUUUUGUAAACGAAUAAUGCUUUAGUUUAGUGAAUAAUCUAUGUAACAGGCUGAUUGGAAAGUACCCUGGUUUUUAGAAUAGUGGAAUGGGCUUUUGUUUUUAAAGUCAGGUUUUAAAACCUAACUACUUCAGGAUUGUGUUGCUAAGCAAGGCGCUUAAUAUUUUAUUUCCAAAGUAGGAGGAAAGCCUAUAAUUCCUUACAGAGUGGCCAAAUGUUUUGAUAAAUGUUGGCUUUCUUCGUAUUCAUUGAUAGUAUGGGCAAUUUACUCAGAAUAAGGAUUACCAGAAUGAUAAGAAGUUGAUAGUAGGUGUCUGGACAUCUGGUUAUUAAAAGACCACAAAAUGAUCAGGUUUUGUGGCCUGAUUUAGUCAAUGGCCUGUUUUCUAAUGAAAGAUUUUCUUCAUAUUAGAAUUUUCAAGAUUAAGAUUUACUUUCAGGAAUACUGUUUGGAAUCACCAUGCCUUUCCAUUAAGAUCUUCUGUACAUUAUAUAUUGGAUUAUAAAUUGAACCAUUUUGGAAAAAGUGGCCUUUUUAUAUUUAGUAAUACUCUUGAAGUUUGUUUUUUUCUGAUGUUAAUAUAUUAGGUUCAUACUGGGUUUUGAAACUAGAUGAUGAAUUUCUUAUCCAUAGAAUGACACUGAAUUUUCUUGAAGGCAGUCUUGGGAAAUUUUUUUUCUUUUGUGUACUAGGGAUUGAACCCAGUGGUGCUCUACUACCAAGCUACAUCCCCAGCCUCCUUUUUAAAAAAAAAUUGUGAGAGGGUCUUGCUAAGUCACCAAGAAUGGAGUCGAUCUGGGUGAUUCUCCUACCUCAGUGUCCUAAGUCACUGGGAUCAAGGUGUGACCCCAUGCAUGGCCUGACUUAGAAUCUUUGAUAGGAACAUUUACUUUUACAUUUAAUGUAAUUCCUCUGAAGUUUACAGGAGUAUUUUACUUUUAUUUAUUUUUUGGUACUGAAAAUUGAACCCAGGGACAUUUUACCACUAACCUCUACCCCAGCCCUUUUUAUUUUUUUUAUUUUGAGACAGGGUCUUCCUACCUUGAUGAGGCUGGCCUAGAAUUUGGAAUCCUCCUGCCUCAGCCUGUGGAGUUGCUGGGAUUACUGAUGUGCAGUACUGUGCCCAACUUUUCAGGUUUAUUUUAAAAGUGUGUGUUUUCAUUACUUUAUUUUGGAAGUUAUAUAUGCUGUUUUCUAAUCUUUUGGUAGUCAUUCUGGAAAUUACUAUUUGCAUACUUAACAAACAUUGGCGUGCUUAUUCACAUCACUGACUUCAAAUAGUGUGAUAUUUUUAAUGUUUUAACACUCACAAUGGUAAUUUUAUUUCUUUCAAAAUCCUUAUUUAGCUGGACGUGGUGGUGUGUGCCUAUAGUCAUAGUGCUAGGGAGGCUGAGGCAGGAGGAUUGCUUGAGCCCAAGAGUUUUGAGCCUGGGAACCUAAUGGGUCCUCAUCUCUAAAACAGACACAAUCUUCAUGUAGAUAUACACAGAUAAUCUUUUUUCCUUAAUGUAUUUUCAAGUUUCCAUCUGGAAUCACUUGCCUUCUAUAUGAAGAUUAUACUACAGAAUAUUUCAGUGAUAGUGCUUGGAGGGAGGUAUUGUUAAGUGAAAUAUUUGCUUUGUUUUCAUUCUUAUAGAUUACAUUGUUUGCAUAUAGUAUUCUAAGAUCAUCAGUUAUUUUCAGAAAGUUAUGAAUUCUAUUAUCUUUUGGUAUCUGAUUUUGAAGAGAAGCCAGCUGUCAGCUAUGCCUUUGAAAUUAAUCUUUUGUGUACUUUCUUAGGUGACUUCUUUGUCUUUGGGAUCUUGCUUUUUUACUUAUUUAUCUAAGUAUGGUUUUCUUUUUUAUUUGUCUUGAGUAGAAUUGAUAAAACUCCCUGAAUCUGUGAGUUGGUGUCUGUUUCAUCAGUUCUGGAAAGUGCUUAGCUAUUAAUUUGUUCAUGUAUUGUUUCCUAUCCUAUCUUUUCCUCCUAGAACUUGAAGUUUUUUUUUUUUUUCUUCCCUAUGAGAGAUUGAACUCAAGGUACUUAAUUAACCACUGAGCCACAUCCUCAGCCCUUUUUAUUAUUUGGGACAGGAUCUCACCAAGUUGCUUAGGGCCUUGCUAAGUUGCUGAUAAACUUGGUGAUCUUCCUGCCUCGGCCUUUCAAGCCUCUGUUAUUACAGGCAUGAAAUCUUUUUUAGAUUUUGUUGUAUCCUAAAAUGUCUUCUCAUUUCAGUACUUCCAUUCUUUAAUCUCUUGCUCUGUUUUAGAAUAGUUCUUCUUUGCUUUCUUUAGCUCGCUUAAUUCUCAAUUUUGUUUAAUCUACUAAAGGCGACCCUUUUAAUUUGAUAUAUUAAGUUCUUUUCCAAAUCUGCUGUUAACUUAAUACAUGUCUAUUUCUUGCAGAUACUGUUUUUUCUUCCUUUCCAAUGAACCCAUAGUCUUGCACAUGCCAGGCAAGCACUUGAUUCCGGAACUAUACCUACAGUUCCCGAUACUAUAUUUUUAGACUUAGUAAGACUGGUUGUUUUUUGGCCUUUGUCUACAGUUUGUUUAUAGUCUAAUUGACAAUAAUACUUAAGUCUUUGUAGGGCUGGUUUCUGUUGUAUUCCUUUAGGUUGUUCUGGUUGCCUUUGGAAAUUACUUGUAUGAAUAAUUAGAGAUCUAGAAUGCAGGUGCUUUUCACUUACAUUUGAUAAGCAAGUGCCUGUGAGUAUACUGCCAGGAUAUUUGACGCUAUCUUGGAGUUUGGAGCAGCAACACAGAUGAAAUGAAUUUGGGCCAUUUGUUUAAGAGAGCUGGCUUAUAAUCUCUGAAGACAUAGCACUUUGGGGUUCCUGCUUAUUUUCAGAAAGUUAUUAUGAAGAUUCCUCAUAGGAUAGGCUCAAAAUUUUGAUUUCAAAUUAAAAUCAGAGUUCACAUUUGCUGAUAAUGGCAGUUGACCUCAGGGCAAAAGUAUUUUCCUAUUUUGCCUUCAUUUUUUGACCAGUAGUAAUUCUGUAUUAUAUUAUUAAUGUUUCAGUGCUAUUUAGAUUUUAAUAAAUUUGUUCUUUGCUUUUAAUUAUUUUUUAUUGGCAGUAUUAAUCUGCAUAAAAUAGCUUGUCAUUAUCAGGAAUGAAAAGUUUUUCACAGAUUUUGGAGUGCAGUUUUAUGUCCAACAUUGUUUGAUAUAAUGUCAACCAGAUUAAAAAAAGCAACGUAGGUAUUAAUAUAAACCUGUAUUUUUCAGUGUAAUCUGAUUAUCUGAGAGCCACCUGCCUCAGAAGCUGCAAGGGGUAGGGGUUAAAAAUGAAGAUUUUGGCGGGGGGGGGGGCAUUCCAUUGGACCUAAUGGUUUUUUUCUUCUUUUAACUUUUAAUUUUAGGUUUACAAGAAAUUUGUAAACAUAGGUCAGAGAGUUUCUGUAUGCCCCUUUCCCAUUUUUUCCUAAUAUUAGUAUCUUAAAGUUACCAUGGUAUAUUUGUCAAGACUAAAAUAAUCUAUUUUUUAACUAUCAUCCCAGCUUAUUAUUUUGGAGAACUAUUCAGUGGUAUAAUUAAAAAUGGAUUGGAUGAAAAUAGCAUGUGUUCUUUAGAGUACUUACCAGGUAUCAAACUCUGGUUAAAGUUUUAACAUGGAUUUGUUCCUUGAAUUUUUUUUUUUUUUUAAUAGGAUGAAAACAUUUUUUAAAUGCUGAUAAAAAUAUAAAGCUGUACAUAUGAGUGGAGUAUACUCCUUGAAAUAAAUUCAAUCCAAUGAGGGAAUUUUUUCUUAACUUUUUAUGUAUGAUGAAAUGAAGCCAGAAGUUGUUUCCCUGUUGAUUGCUUCAAAGGUAGUGUAAACCUUAAUGAUUUAACUGAAAUUAGGCCCAGUUUUAUGAAUGUACACAAGCAAAAAAUCUAAUUUUCCUGAAUGGGCAGUUUGGAUCUUCAUUAAAAAGUUUUAUUUCAAAAGUUCAGAAUCUAGAGAUAGUGCUGAAAACUGGACAUUGAUGGUAGUUCUGUGAACAUGUUAAAAUGGCCUAAAAAUUUAAAUCGGAAAUUCUGAGUUUUUUCCCCAUAUAUCUUUCCAUAUUCCAAUUGCUAGGUUUAUUAGACAAUAUGUUAAUGUUUACAACCCAGGAAAUUGAAAAAUAUUACUGAUUUAGGUAAACUUCUUUAUACUGGAAAACCAAGUAAUGCAAAUUUAUAGUCAAAUUAUACUUUAUUGUCAUAUAUAACUAAAAAGAAAAAAAUUUUUAAAAAUUCUCAUUUCUCAUGUUUUAUAGUAACUACUUUCAGGUUUCUGAUAUAGAAAAAGGUUUUAUUUAAGGGGCUGGUGGUGUGGUUCAAUCAUAGUUAUGUGUUUAGCAUGUGUUCUGGAUUCAGUUCCUCAGCACCAAUAAAAUGUAUGUAAAGGUUUUGUUUAUAUUAUAAAAGUAUGUACGUGUAUGAGCAUACUUAUAUUUUAUUCAUGUCCUAAUGGGAUUUUGCCAUAUAUUUUAUACCUUACAUUUCUAUAUCAGCUCUUGAGAAUUGCUUCCAUUUUCACUAUAAAGCAUUUCCUUAUAUGUGCAUUCCAUGCUAAUAAAUUUAUAACAUAUAAGUUGUGUAUAUUACUCUGAAGAAUAGUGAUUGGUAAAAGCAUAUAAAUUUCUGUAAUGAGUCUCAUCUGAAAAGUUGGGAGAGACCUUAGCUUACACUAAUGUGUAAUUAUAUACUUGAGACAUCUUGGGAUGGAAAGAAAUAGAACUAUAUAGGAGUUUGUACAACAAAGAAUUAUUUAACCAGUUGUUCAAGAUGUAUAGGAUUUGUUCACUGGGGCUUUGGAGGGAUCUUGAAGGUGAAUAUGAAAAACAAGGCCUUACAUGCUCAGUAGUACCUUUUUUUUAAAGAGAGAGAGAAUUUUAAUAUUUUUUUUAGUUUUCGGUGGACACAGCAUCUUUCUUUGUAUGUGGUGCUGAGGAUCGAACCCGGGCCGCACGCAUGCCAGGCGAGCGUGCUACCACUUGAGCCACAUCCCCAGCCCGCUCAGUAGUUCUUUAUGGAACAUUCUUAUAAGUAAAUAAGGCUGGAGAUGGAUAUAUUUAAACUUUGCCUUUGAAAUUCCUUUAACCAGGAAUAACUGUCCAGAAAAGUACUAGUUUAUGAGAACAUAACUCAGAUUUAAGAAAGAAUAUUUAUUAAAUUUUUCCCUGUGUUGAAAGAAAAUUCUCAAUGAUUUGAUAGACACUUAGAAUCCCAAAUACAUUUCUUUGAAGAUUCAAUAUUUUUCUUAAUUUUUGAAUUCGAUUUCAUCAGUAGUUUGCUAAACAUUUUGUAGAUAUAUGCUAAUUGCCCAGUAUCACUGGAGAAAUUUGUCAGUACUACUAGGAAAUAUUUAAGGAAACAUUUUUAAACAAAAGGAAGGUAUAUUAAAGAUAUAUUAGAAAGAAAUAUUUUCUUUAUAAUUAAAGGAUAGAUACUAGAUCAGUAAUACUCCUCAAAUAUUACCACUUGACUUAAAAUCAGAACCUUAAAUACUCUUAAGUAAUAUUUAAGCAUGCUGUUAUGAGAGUAGUUCAUCUUAUAAGAUUUUGUGGAAUUAAUCCUAAGGCUGAAAGAUGAAAACUUGAUUUCUAAUGCGGAAUUCUGUCUAAACUUGGUUUAGGUUUUUUUUAGUGAUCUGGAUGACUUAACAUUCAGCCAUUUUUCACUUAAGUAUUUAACACAUUUACCUUAAGGUUUUCUUCCCUUUCUCAGAAGUAUUCUCUAAGCCUUAGGAAUUUAAGUCAUUUAAUCAAUCUUUCCAGUAAACUUACUUAGAUUUGGUAAUCAGAGUGUUAAUUAACAGUGUAUCAGCAUUACCAGGGGAGGUUGUUGCAGGGGAUGGUGGGAAUGGUUGUACAUCAGUCAUGUGAGAUGAGAUACAGAAGGUUUGUCUGACAUAAUAGGUUGGGACCUAGAUUUUUACAAUUAAUGUGUAAUCGUUUUAAAGGGCUGAUGUGUGAUGCAGAGAUUACUAAACCUUUAUUUUUUUAAUACCUCCAGGAGCAUAAGUACAAUAGGUAGCAAAUAUUUUUUUAACUUGAAUUUGAUAAAAAAAUAAUACUGUUAAAAGUGAAGUGGAUUUGUUCAAAGAUGCUGAAUAGCCUAAAAGUUCAGCAAAAAUUUAACAUAUAUGAUUAAAAGAAUUUGAACAAAAGACUUUGGUAACACUAUUCCUUUUACAGCAAAUAGGAAUUCUUUACUGAUGAUGUUAAUAUAAUAAUUUUUAUAUCAGAUUCUAAAAGCCUACUCUAACAUGUUUGUUUUAAGCAAUAUUCUCCUGAAAAAAUAUUUUAACACUGAUGUUUCUCUCCAUAGGUAUUUGAAGUUCCU